CCUGCCUCACUUUCCCCUCUAGAGCCAUCUAGGUUCAGUGGCAAGAUAUAGAUAAAUAUUACUAGAGGUAGUCCUGGGUGAAAUAAGAGACCUUGACCUUUUUAAGGUCAGCAGGAAGCAGGAUCAAUAAGUGGGAGGAGAGCAAUGACAUCACCAGAAGACAAUAUUGAUCCUGUAUCAUCAGAGGAAUGGAAAUCCCUUCUCUACAAGUUUCUAGCUUUACAUGUUCCCUUUGUACAUGUACCUUUGGGGGAACAGAGUGAUGUCAUGUUUCUGCAGAAGACAUGAAGAUAGGAGGGGCAGAGAAUGGUACAAAUGGAAGAUGAGCAGCUGAUGGAAGUCUAGCAACAUAUACAGUGGAAAUUCUGACUCUGAAUGCCUGAAAGUAGGUUGCUAUUUUAUUACAUCUCUGUCUUCAUGCCACUGCUCCCUUUUCAUGAUUCUUUUCCUUUUUAAAAAAAAAAUCAAUCAUUAUACCAUAUGAAUUCAUAAAUGCACCUGUAUAUGUGUCCAUUCUUUCAAAAGAUGCUUUAUGUAU